AUUGAACGCUGGCGGCAUGCUUUACACAUGCAAGUCGGACGAGUGGCGAACGGGUGAGUAACGCCUCGGAACGUACCGAGUAAUGGGGGAUAACUGUCCGAAAGGACAGCUAAUACCGCAUAUUAUCCGAGCGGCCGAUGUCUGAUUAGCUGGUUGGCGGGGUAAAGGCCCACCAAGGCGACGAUCAGUAGCGGGUCUGAGAGGAUGAUCCGCCACACUGGGAAUGAGACACGGCCCAGACGCCUACGGGAGGCAGCAGUGGGGAAUAUUGCGCAAUGGGGGCAACCCUGACGCAGCCAUGCCGCGUGAAUGAAGAAGGCCUUCGGGUUGUAAAGGACUUUUGGCAGGGAAGCGGUACCUGAAGAAUAAGCACCGGCUAACUCCGUGCCAGCAGCCGCGGUAAUUC
rnacentral:rRNA from 1 species